AUCAUCCUAAGAGAUCUAUUCAGAAAUGGAAGCUGUUCUUUAAGAAGUAACAGGACUGUACAUCCUUGAAAUUCUUCAUGCAAUGAUUAAAUGAUCAUAUCUUAAAUAUAAUUGGAAUACAGCAUGCUUAAGAAAUCCUGAUCUCUAGCAACACUUCAAGAAGGUGAGACUACUUCCAGCCAGAAGGAUUAGAAAAAGCCAGAGCACAAGAUACAUGAAAGAAAGUGCUGAGAUAAGGUAUAGAGCUGGAAAGAGCUCAUAGACCGUUUAUACCAAUUCUAUCACUUCAUACCUGAGUAAUAUGUGACUUUGAGAAGAGUUUCAGAGGUAACAUUUGAACCUAGGAUUUCUAAUCACAAAGCUAAAGUUCUUUACACUAUACCAAAAAUCAU